rnacentral:lncRNA from 1 species
AUCAGGCAAAGGCCAUGGGGGAAAUGGGCGGCUGAGAUAAGAGAUCCUCACAAAGGUGUCCGAGUCUGGCUCGGUACAUACAACACGGCUGAAGAAGCGGCUCGAGCCUACGAUGAAGCCGCCAAGCGCAUCCGUGGGGAGAAAGCCAAGCUCAACUUCCCUCAAACUCCACACCUAACUCAGCCUCCUGCUAAGAAAAGGUGUACGAUGGCUCCUGAGUUGACUCCGCCGAGUUCUGAAACAAAGAGCCCACCAACCCCACAACUUUUUAUGGGUUUUGGUUACGAGAAUGGAGUUUACAGACCGAGUGAAGCAAUGGAAAGCGAGAUGGAGCUGAAGGAGCAAAUCUCGAGCCUGGAGUCGUUCCUGGGUUUGGAGCCUGAUGAGACAACAACUGAGUUGAGUGGAAGUGCUGAGCCUGACUCAGUGGACCUUUGGAUGCUUGAUGACCUUGUGACACAUCAUCAACAACAGCCUCAGCUCUUUUAUUAGAAAUUAAAAAGUUUUAAUUAGGGUAAUGUUAUGUUUGAUAUGAUUAUGCUUAAGACUUUAAUGUUUGUAUUAAU